rnacentral:rRNA from 1 species
AAUGAACGCUGGCGGCGUGCCUAAUACAUGCAAGUCGAGCGAACAGACAAUAAGCUUGCUCUCUUGACGUUAGCGGGGGACGGGCGAGUAACACGUGGAUAAGAAACUACUAAGACGGGGGGAACAUCGGGAGACAGGAGAUACUAACGGAGAAUAUAAUCAACGGCAGAGAUCAGUAGUGCAUGACGGCUUUGCUGACACAUAGAGCUGGUUCCGCGCCGGAUUAGCUAGUGGGUAAGGUAACGGCCUACCAAGGAAACGAUGCGUAGCCGAGCUGAGGGGGUGGUCGGCCACACUGGAACUGAGACACGGUCCAGACUCCUACGGGAGGCAGCAGUAGGGAAUCUUCCGCAAUGGGCGAAAGCCUGACGGAGCAACGCCGCGGGAGUGAAGAAGGUCUUCGGAUCGUAAAACUCUGUUAUUAGGGAAGAACAAAUGUGUAAGUAACUAUGCACGUCUUGACGGUACCUAAUCAGAAAGCCACGGCUAACUACGUG